UACGUAGGGGGCUAGCGUUGCUCGGAAUUACUGGGCGUAAAGCGCACGUAGGCGGUCUUUUAAGUCGGGGGUGAAAUCCUGGAGCUCAACUCCAGAACUGCCUUCGAUACUGGAAGACUCGAGUCCGGGAGAGGUGAGUGGAACUGCGAGUGUAGAGGUGAAAUUCGUAGAUAUUCGCAAGAACACCAGUGGCGAAGGCGGAUCACUGGCCCGGUACUGACGCUGAGGUGAAAGCGUGGGGAGCAAACAGG
rnacentral:rRNA from 1 species